UCCACAGUAGCUCAGUGGUAGAGCUAUCGGCUGUUAACCGAUCGGUCGUAGGUUCGAGUCCUACCUGUGGGGCCA
rnacentral:tRNA from 1 species